UGACGUUUCCCCGCCACGUCCAGGUCGAAGACCCUGAGCUCGCCCUGCACGGCCUUCACCCCCGGCGACGCCAUUGCAGACCUCCUUUUCCGCCACUUCUCUGUGGAGACGAAGAAAAGGGACUCGGUUACUUACGGCGCCGCUUUCUGCGCUGCCUCUUUCACCCCGCCCACAAAAGGAUAAAAGCGCCGAAGAGAAAGGAGCGGAGCUACCACUCCAGCUUGUGAAUGGGCGCACGCCGAAAGGGAGCGACUGUAACGUUGCGUGGCAGGUUUUCAUCUCUGUUGGGCUACAACUGGACACCAUUUUCAAUCAAGAUGGCAGACUGAACCUUUCAAAACAGCACCGAUUUUUUUGGUUUCUUUGAAUUCCCCAGCAACGCCAGCUUUGCUGAAAACCAAGAAAGGAAAAUCUCCCAGUUCCCGGCCACCUCUUGAAAUCUGUUCUGCCUCUGGGGUCCUCUUGGCUAGCAUUCCAUGGAAGAACUGCCCGGCUGUGCAUCUUGGCUGGAUGACCAGCGAGGACCUCCUCUGCAUCCAAGAGGAUGGCUCAGUCCUCAUCUACAGCCUUUUCAGCAUGGGAAAUGAUGGAGGAGUUCAAGAAAUCAGCAGUCCAAUAUCCAGCUUUUCCAUCAGCAGUGGCGUCACUAGGGUUGGUGUCACCCGGUGCGGUAACUCAUGGUGUCACCCCCAUGGACCUCCUCCCGUACAAGAUCAUUGUCUUUCUGCAUGACCCAGCUGUGCUUCAGUUUCAGCUGACGGACAGAUGGCCUGACAUUCUCCUGUAGAAUUCUCUGAGACAAAGCAGAAUUCAUGGUUUCUUCAAUGAUGGCAAGUUGUUCAGGCCCUGAUCCAGCAAAGCAGCCCCAAACCAUGACUGUGCCACCACCAUGCUUGAUUGUUGGUAUGAGAUUCUUCAUGUGGAAUGCAGUGUUUGGUUUUCGCCAGACAUAACGGCUGAUGUCACCCAAAAUUUUCCAUUUUUGACUCAUCUGUCCAUAGAACAUCGUUCCAGAACUUUUGAGGAUCAUCUAGGUGCUUUUUGGCAAACUCUAGAUGAACAUUCAUGUUCUUCUUCCACCUUGCUACUCUGCCAUGAAUCCCAUGUUUACACAGUGUCUUUCUGAUGGUGGGGUCAUGAACACUGGCCUUGACUGAGGCAAGAGAGGCCUGCAGAUCCCUGGAUGUUGUUCUAGGGUCCUUUGUGACUUCCUGGAUGAUUUUACACCUUGCCCUUGGAGGGAUUUUGGCAGGACGGACACUCCUGGGAAGAUUCACUACUGUCCCAAACCUUCUCCAUUUGGUCAAUAUGGCUCUGACAGUGGUUCAGUGGAGCCCCAGAGCCUUAGAAAUGGCUUUGUAACCUUUUCCAGACUGAUAUGCAUCAACCGUUUUCCAGAGGUGUUCAGGAAUGUCUUUUGAUCGUGGCAUGAUGUGGCUUUGGAACCUGUGCGCUGGCAACUUCAAUCUGAUGGCAAGGGCCGCAGUUAGUCAGAUUUAUACUGGGCAGGGCUGGCCCAAAGCAGGCCUGAUUGUUUACCAAAGUAUUCAAACUUCUGGCCCUAAUAGUCCCUUUCAUUGGGUUGAGUUAAUAGGGGGGCAAUUACUUUUUCACACAGGGGCAUU